rnacentral:lncRNA from 1 species
CACUGAUCCAACAUGCAGCCGCCAACUGGAGGCAGCGCCUCUGGUGCAUGAUGACUGAGUAGUGGAGAGGCCGACAGAUGGCUACAAACCUGUCAAAGGACAUGACGCCCAGCAGAAAGCAUUCUGUGCAACCCAAAGCCAGGAAAAUGAAAAGCUGGGCCACACAGCCACCAUAGCUGAUCACCUUCCGGGUGCUGCAGAUGUUGAUGAGCAUCUGUGGGACCGUGCUUGUGGUGUAGCACAGGUCCAGCAAGGACAGGUGUCUAGGCUGUUUCCAUUUCCUGGCUCUUGUGACUAAAGCAGGAUUGA